rnacentral:rRNA from 1 species
UACGAAGGGUGCAAGCGUUACUCGGAAUUACUGGGCGUAAAGCGUGCGUAGGUGGUGGUUUAAGUCAGAUGUGAAAGCCCUGGGCUCAACCUGGGAACUGCAUUUGAUACUGGAUCACUAGAGUGCGGUAGAGGAUAGUGGAAUUCCCGGUGUAGCAGUGAAAUGCGUAGAGAUCGGGAGGAACACCAGUGGCGAAGGCGGUUCUCUGGGCCUUACCUGACGCUGAGGAGCGAAAGCGUGGGGAGCGAACAGG